rnacentral:rRNA from 1 species
GUAGGGAAUCUUCGGCAAUGGACGAAAGUCUGACCGAGCAACGCCGCGUGAGUGAAGAAGGUUUUCGGAUCGUAAAACUCUGUUGUUAGAGAAGAACAAGGGUGAGAGUAACUGUUCACCCCUUGACGGUAUCUAACCAGAAAGCCACGGCUAACUACGUGCCAG